CACGUAGGGCGCAAGCGUUGUCCGGAAUUAUUGGGCGUAAAGAGCUCGUAGGCGGUCUGUCGCGUCUGCUGUGAAAACUCAGGGCUUAACCCUGAGCUUGCAGUGGGUACGGGCAGACUUGAGUACUGCAGGGGAGACUGGAAUUCCUGGUGUAGCGGUGGAAUGCGCAGAUAUCAGGAGGGAACACCGGUGGCGAAGGCGGGUCUCUGGGCAGUAACUGACGC
rnacentral:rRNA from 1 species